rnacentral:lncRNA from 1 species
UAUAUAAAUAAAAUGAUCACAUAUAAAAAAAACUAUCGAUAAUAUAUAUAAAUAAAAUGAUCACAUAUAUAAAAAAAACUAUCGAUAAUAUUUUUCAUAACCGUCACUGUUUUCUUCCAUCACUAUCAUUACCCAUGUCUCGUAACUUCCUCUCAUUUUUUUUAAUUUUAACGUCAUUAAUUAUUUUAUUUACCGUGUACCUGUAAGACACAAGGUUAAAACCGGAUGGAAAUGGAAAAUAAGUGAUAUCAUUUAAUUAUGUCAAAUCGAUAACUAUAUUCUUAAUAUUGAUCCCAAAAUUGGUUAGUUGGCAAAUUAACCCUAUGGUAAACUAGUAGCAUUGUAAACUGAUAUUGUAUAUUUUAAUUGGAUAAGACCAUAUUGUGUUCACCUCCUUGAUAUCUAUGGCUGAUUUCUACACCCAAA